AGUGAACGCUGGCGGUAGGCCUAACACAUGCAAGUCGAACGGCAGCACAGUAAGAGCUUGCUCUUACGGGUGGCGAGUGGCGGACGGGUGAGGAAUACAUCGGAAUCUACUUUUUCGUGGGGGAUAACGUAGGGAAACUUACGCUAAUACCGCAUACGACCUACGGGUGAAAGCAGGGGAUCUUCGGACCUUGCGCGAUUGAAUGAGCCGAUGUCGGAUUAGCUAGUUGGCGGGGUAAAGGCCCACCAAGGCGACGAUCCGUAGCGGGUCUGAGAGGAUGAUCGGCCCACCUGGACCUGAGACAAAGGCCAACCCCCUAGGGGAGGCGGAGGGGGGGAAUAUGGGAAAAGGGGGGAAAGCCUGACCCAGCAAAACCGGGGGGGUGAAGAAGGCCUUCGGGUUGUAAAGCCCUUUUGUUGGGAAAAAAAAGCAGCAGGUUAAUCCCCCGCUGUUCGGACGGUACCCAAAAAAUAAGCACCGGUAAACUUCGU
rnacentral:rRNA from 1 species